rnacentral:rRNA from 1 species
UACGAACUGUGCAAACGUUAUUCGGAAUCACUGGGCUUAAAGGGCGCGUAGGCGGCGUGGUAAGUCACUUGUGAAAUCUCUGAGCUUAACUCAGAACGGCCGAGUGAUACUGCUGUGCUAGAGUGCAGAAGGGGCAAUCGGAAUUCUUGGUGUAGCGGUGAAAUGCGUAGAUAUCAAGAGGAACACCUGAGGUGAAGACGGGUUGCUGGGCUGACACUGACGCUGAUGCGCGAAAGCCAGGGGAGCAAACGGG